UCCUUUUUUUCCUGCCAUUCUUUUGUAGUAAUUGCUGUUUGAUAAAAGUGGCUGUAUAAUUUUUUAUUAGAUAAGUAGUAAAUCCUUCAAUUAUUGUUGGACUUGGUGAAGUAAAACAUUUGUAGAGUUUGGAUUCUUUCAUUUUCAGCACAAAGUGACUGUUGAGCUAACACUAAAUAAUGUGUUGGCAAUACUUUCCAAAUGGCUAGAAGUUGUUUAUUCAGAAGUGUCUGUCACUACUUUGUUGCCAAAACUCCAUU
rnacentral:lncRNA from 1 species